CUCUCUCUCUCUCUUUUAAAAAAUCAGCCAUUUGGGGUUUUAAGCCAUAAACGAUUUUUCUUGUUGCAGGGGAUUGCAGUGGCAAAGCUAGGCUAGGUCUUGGAGGCUGGUGUAAGGCGAAGCGGGUGAAGGCAGGAGGCUGAUGGAGAGACUGAGGGGAAUAAAAGCCGAAAUGGAUUCACGGUGCCUUGGAUGGAGGACGAGAGGGGAAUUGCAAGCUCCUUCAACUCGUUCUGUCCGGUGAGAAGUGAUCAAGCUUGGGCUGACAAGAGGCUCAGGGAGCCCUCACGUUCUUUCGCUUUUUUACCUGCCCCAAAUCGGAUAAUCUCUGCAGCUGAUAACAAGCAAAAGAGAAGCCAGGCAACAGCCAUAGUAAAGAAGAAAACAAUCAACUCUGAGGGUACAGACAGGCAUGCAGAAGUAACUAGACGUCCAACACAUGCCAAGGUCUUGCGGGCCCAGGAUUUCGAACAAAAGAAAACUCGCUGCCUGCUUCAUUAUAUGAAGAUCUGUGUCAUCUCAGAGGAAACUACGUGCUCCCUUGCCCUCCGGCUUCCAGUAGGCUUUGGUCAAGGGGGACACAGGGAAGGAAUCUAAAGGAAGAAGACUAAGACUGGAGUAUUUAUUCCCUUGAUAGAAGAUCACAGUGUCUGUUGGGUGGCCUUCUCACACAGCUGUCUCUUCCUGGGGCGGGUGAGCACUCCCACAGAGACAAGGUGAAAGCACCUCACUGAUACUGGCACCCAGCAGAAAGCUUGAAUGAUUUGCUCUUGGCUAGUUGGCUGAAUAUCUAAAGCAAGAUCUACUGCUUCAUGAUGCUGAACUCUCUUAGAGCUAGGGGCUGCAAUGAUAAGACUUCUGCUGCUUGGCAUCCACAAAAGUCACAGCCUUGAGACUAUAGCAGAGGAGGAGAAGAUGCAACCUGAUGAAUUGUACAAGAGCAGAAUUCCUGGUGAUUGGCGAGACCAGUUCUUCAACUGUUUCUUCAUAGUUUCUGAAACACACAAGAUAAUUGUUGUUCUGUCUUAAUUCUGAUCAUUUUCACAUUGAAUCUUCCAUUACGUGGCUUGGUCUUGUGGUGAGCAGACUGCAAGGCAACCUGUUCAGAUACCUGCCUCUGCUGCUGAGUAUCACCUAGAGAGAAACCUUUGCCUCCAUGAGAAAAAAGCUCAAUGUGUAUCUCUUCCAUUUUUUGUCUACAGUGUCUACAGUUUUUUUUUUUGAGCAAUUUCCUGUCUUCUAUAAUAGAUUUUGGAGAUCCUGUCGUGGCUUAGCGGUUAAUGAACCCGACUGGUAUCCGUGAGGACGUGGGUUCAAUCCCUGGCCUUGCUCAGUAGGUUAAGGAUCUGGCGUUGCCUCAAACUGUGGCAUAGCCCCCAGCUGUAGCUCCAAUUCGACCCCUAGCCUGGGAACCUCCAUAUGCUGCGGGUACAACCCUAAAAAGACAAAAUAAUAGUAAUAAUAAUAUAAUAGACAGAUUUUCAGUCCUCAAUAAGGAAAGACCAAAAGGAAGAUAAAUGAGCAAUUACUGAGGUCCUACUAUGUGACAAGUGCCAUCACAUAAAUCAUUUAUUGGUUCAAUAAAUAGUAUAUGCACAAUCUGAUUAAAUAAAUGGUGGAUACAUGGAUGAUGAGGAUAAGGUCCAUGCAUAAAAGGAGCUCGUAGUCUACUGAGAGACAGACAAUUUCUAAGGAGAAAGAAUAGAAUUAGUAAUACUGAAUAAGGCUUAGCACUUCUUGGAGGUAUUUUUAUUCCCCGAGUUUACAAAUUUAGAAACUGAGGCCACCAGAGGUUAAGUGAUGAAUUCAUGAUCACAGAGUUAGAACUAGAAUUUAAAUUCAGAUCUGAAUCAAUUAGGAAAAAAAACUCUACCAGAAAAAUACAUUUUAAAAUUUAUUUCAGGGAGUUCCUCUCAUGGCUCAAUGGUGAUGAACCCAAUGAGUAUCCAUGAGGCUAGGGUUUGAUCCCUAGCUCUGCUCAGUGGGUUAAAGAUCCAGCACUGCUGUGAGCUGAGGUGUAGGUUGCAGAUGCAGUUCGGAUCUGGCAUUGCUGUGGCUGUGGCGUAGGCCAUGGGUUACAGCUCUGAUUUGACCCCUAGCCUGGGAAGUUCCAUAUGCCCCAGGUGCAGCCCUAAAAAGACCAAAAAAAAAAAAAAAAAAAAAAAAAAAAA
rnacentral:lncRNA from 9 species